rnacentral:tRNA from 1 species
GAGGGUAUAGCUCAGUGGUAGAGUGCCUGCUUAGCAUGUAUGAGGUCCUGGGUUCAAUUCCCAGUAACUCA